UCUGCUUGUCUGGCCAGAUGACGGAGCAGAGGUUGGUGAGGACCAGCGUGCCCAGUCGGCGGGCGCCUUUCUCCGGUCCGCUGUAGUAGUCGAGGGAGUCCUGGCUCAGCACAAACCAGUACCGACGCUGCUUGAUCCAGUUCCCUCGCACCUCCCACAGAUCCAGAUAGACUCGGCUGCAGUUUACUGGAGCAUGAGAAGCAGCGCAUCAUGUGAGGAGUGAUAUUAACUGUAAAUCAACAAAGGUCGGUGAAACUUAACAUUCACGGUGUUGCCUCGGCCGCGAAGUAACUCCAAGAGCUGCGUGAGCGCAUACAGCAUACCCUCUCCAUAGAGAUCCAGCCAGGAGGAGGAGGAG